UCUAACGUGGCAGAUAAGUGCACUGGAUUUAAGCUCCACGAAUAAAGUUUUAAAACUUUCAUUAGAA
rnacentral:tRNA from 1 species